rnacentral:lncRNA from 10 species
GGAGGCAGUGGUUGCAGCAGUGAGCCAAGAUCAUGGCACUGCACUCCAUCCAGUCUGGAUGACAGAGCGAGACUCUGAAGAAAGAAAGAGAGAAAGAGACAGAGAGAGAGAAAAAGAGAGAGAGAGAGGGAGGGAGGGAGGGGGGAGGGAGGAAGAGAAGGAUAACUCAGCAUUUGUCAGGCUACACUUUAACCCACUUCCUUCUAACUGAAAGUCACGUAGCGCUAGUGACUAUCUGCACCCCUACUGUUCCUAUGGACGGAAUCUCUGACUUCAGAAUCAUGAGGCUUUUGUUUAAGAAUUCCUUAAGACGUUUCAGAUCCUUAAUUCCAGGCCAACCAGUUUGAAGAGCCCCACAGAGGAAGUGAACCAGCAUGAGAAUACAGCAUCUUCAACCCCACCCCAUGACUCCACCCUGCUUCACCCUGCACUUCUCCACCGCUGUUAUCCUCCUAUUUGUAAAACGGAGGCACCUGGGACCAGCUCCAGCAAGGAGAGUGAGGAUCCGACUCCAGGAAGCACCUCAGGAACAAAGGCCUCAAGGCCAACACCUUCCACGGCACAAGCCCAACAGAGCUGCAGGAACCGUACAAGCAGCGGGAACAUCCCUUUCUCUUCUUGACUAUGUUUUCCCCUGAUGCUUUGCUUUCCACAUAGAAGAGUUUUCCAUUUUCGUGGGGUCAACUCUGCCUUCACUCAUUCAACAAUGAUGGGGGGCUCUGCCCCGCUCCCCCCAGGCUUCAACCACACCUGACUGCCCACCCCUUUGGGCCCUUCCCUGAAGUGACAGACCAGGCUGUGCCCUGGCAGGUAAGAGAAAGGACCCCACAACCCAUUCAUGGGCCGCUCCAGCUGGGGCCUUGCAUGCAGGAGCGGACCAGUCCCCCUGAGGGACAGCCCUUGGGUGGGGGCUCUGGGUCAUUUUGAGGAGUCAAUCACACCAACAGGUGCCUAGCACAGGCCCCACCCCCACCCCAAAUAAGGCAAGCGACCCUUCCCUUCCGCAGGUGGUCCAGUCUAACAGAAACCCUAAACCAAAGGGACUGUGUGGUGGCUCAAGCCUGUCAUCCCAGCACUUUGGGGGAUGGAUCGAUUUUAGCCUAGGAGUUCAAGACCAGCCUGGGCAAUAUAGUGAGACUCCAUCUCUACAAAAACACUUUUUAAAAAAAUUAGGGGUGCAGUGGUUUAUGCCAAUAAUCCCAGCACUUUGGGAGGCCGAGGUGGACAGAUCGCUCAGAAGUUCCAGACCAGCCUGGGUAACAUGGUGAAACUCUCUGUCUCUAUAUAUGUGUGUGGUAGGGUGGGCCUGUGGUCCCAGCUACUAUAGCAGCUGAGGUGGGAAGAUCGCUUGAGCCCAGGAGGUCCAGGCUGCAAUGAGUUGUGAUCAGGCCACUGCACCCCAGCCUGGCCAACAGAGCAAGACUCUGUCAAAAAAAAAAAAAAGAAAGAAAGAAAAGAGGUCAGGUACGGUGGCUCACGCCUGUAAUUCCAGCACUUUGGGAGCCCGAGGCAGGUGGAUCACGAGGUCAGGAGUUCGAGACCAGCCUGGCCAAUAUGGUGAAACCCCGUCUCUACUAAAAACACAAAAAUUAGCUGCGCAUGAAGGCGCGCGCCUGUAGUCCCAGCUACUCGGGAGGCCGAGGCAGGAGAAUGGUGUGAACCCCGGAGGCGGAGCUUGCAGUGAGCCGAGAUUGCGCCACUGCACUCCAGCCUAGGCGACAGAUCCAGACUCCGUCUCAAAA